AUUGAACGCUGGCGGCAUGCCUUACACAUGCAAAUCGAACGGCAGCACGGGUGCAAUCCUGGUGGCGAGUGGCGAACGGGUGAGUAAAGUAUCGGAACGUGCCCAGUCGUGGGGGAUAACGUAGCGAAAGUUACGCUAAUACCGCAUACGAUCUAUGGAUGAAAGCGGGGGAUCGCAAGACCUCGCGCGAUUGGAGCGGCCGAUAUUAGAUUAGGUAGUUGGUGGGGUAAAGGCUCACCAAGCCGACGAUCUGUAGCUGGUCUGAGAGGACGACCAGCCACACUGGGACUGAGACACGGCCCAGACUCCUACGGGAGGCAGCAGUGGGGAAUUUUGGACAAUGGGCGAAAGCCUGAUCCAGCCAUGCCGCGUGCAGGAUGAAGGCCUUCGGGUUGUAAACUGCUUUUGUACGGAACGAAAAGGUUUGGCCUAAUAAGCUGAGCUCAUGACGGUACCGUAAGAAUAAGCACCGGCUAACUACGUGCCAGCCGCCGCCGUAA
rnacentral:rRNA from 1 species